UAAAACAAAAACCUAUAAAUAAUCAACAAAAGUUCACAAAAAUGGAAAUGUGUAAGAAUUUAUUUGAUGAGUAUCAGUAUCAUAUUGAUUUAAUAAGGUCUACUUCUAUAUUCCUGGAUAUGCUGCAUGUAAGCAUUACUGUAUGCUAUGUUACUGUUUAACUUUAGACAACUCACCUGACUCCAAAUAGUCACCAUCUCCAAAAGGUUUUCAAACUGACAAUAGUGUUCAUGAAAUGUUGAUUCCAUCUAUAAACCAAGAUAGUUUUUCUAUAUUGCAGAAUGGUAAACUUCCAAAAUUUCUAUAUCAGAUUAGAUGAGAUUUUUUAUGCCACUGCGCCGAAACCCUUCUAUAAUGAAAUGCGAUCUGCCUUUAAAGAGUUUGGAAUAUAACAAAUUGCUCAUUCUCUACUGGCCAUAUUGCAGCUUUUUAACUCAUGUGAUGUAGAAAAACUGACAUUCAAGCGAUUGUCGACACUUCUAAAGCCAUCAUUUGCAGAAAUUGGAUCCAAUGAUCAUGUGUUUCAAUCUAAAAUCUAUGCUAAGUAAGCUUUAACAAGUACCUUCGAGAAACUGCUGGUGGUAGAAGAAAUGGCGUUACUUUAGAAAGGGUGUUACAAUUUGUAACUGGGGCAGAAGCAGAACCUGUGUUAGGAUAUGAACUCCAUCCAUCCAUUUUAUUUAUUGGUGCUGAAAAUGGUUGGAUUCCAACUUCAAAAACAUGUUCCAGUGUAUUAAAUUUACCAAGACCAUCUAUCGAAAAUAAUCUACCUUUAGAAGAAAAAUUAUUUCGACUUUAUGACUUAGCAUUCAAUUAUGCCUUUUUUGGCAUCGUAAAGUU
rnacentral:lncRNA from 1 species